UACCUCUCCUGUGGUACCUACAUGAGGCAAAGAAUACGUCCUUUGUUUUGGAAGUAAUGACGCCUGAGAUUACCAUCCUUCUGCUGAGGAAGCUGGAGGGGUUCAACAGAUUUGAAGCUGAAAGUGUUUUUUCUCAACAUGUUAUAUUUGAGUAAUUAUGAGAAAUGAAUCUUCCCAUUCCACUUUAAAUGUGAACUUGUUGUUUUGUUGUUGUCUUGUUGUCAGAUUCAUCAUAGUUAUAUUGUUUUUCCUCUGUUUAUAUUGUGUAGUUUUUUUAUGAAUAAAUAAACUUUAUUUGCUUUUAUUA